GAUGAACGCUAGCGGCAGGCUUAAUACAUGCAAGUCGUGGGGCAGCAGGGCUGUAGCAAUACAGUUGCUGGCGACCGGCAAACGGGUGCGUAACACGUACGCAACCUUCCCGUUACUGUGGCAUAGCCCAGGGAAACUUGGAUUAAUACCACAUAUUAUAUUGAUGAGGCAUCUCGUUGAUAUCAACGCUUCGGCGGUAACGGAUGGGCGUGCGGUUGAUUAGGUAGUUGGCGGGGUAACGGCCCACCAAGCCUACGAUCAAUAGCUGAUGUGAGAGCAUGAUCAGCCACACGGGCACUGAGACACGGGCCCGACUCCUACGGGAGGCAGCAGUAAGGAAUAUUGGGCAAUGGACGCAAGUCUGACCCAGCCAUGCCGCGUGAAGGAUUAAGGUCCUCUGGAUUGUAAACUUCUUUUCUCUGGGGCGAAAACCAGCUAAUCUUAGCUAUUUGACAGUACCAGAGGAAUAAGCACCGGCUAACUCCGUGCCAGCAGCCGCCGUAAAAC
rnacentral:rRNA from 1 species